GAGGGCUUUUAUCCAUAGUUCCAAAAGAGAGAGAGGUGGUUGUGUCGUCGGAGAGGGCUUUUAUCCAUAGUUCCAAAAGAGAGAGAGGUGGUUGUGUCGAUGGAGAGGGCUUUUAUCCAUAGUUCCAAAAGAGAGAGAGGUGGUUGUGUCGUCGGAGAGGGCUUUUAUCCAUAGUUCCAAAAGAGAGAGAGGUGGUUGUGUCGUCGGAGAGGGCUUUUAUCCAUAGUUCCAAAAGAGAGAGAGGUGGUUGUGUCGCCAGAGAGAGAGGUGGUUGUGUCGUUGGAGAGGGCUUUUAUCCAUAGUUCCAAAAGAGAGAGAGGUGGUUGUGUCGUCGGAGAGGGCUUUUAUCCAUAGUUCCAAAAGAGAGAGAGGUGGUUGUGUCGCCAGAGAGAGAGGUGGUUGUGUCGGCGGAGAGGGCUUUUAUCCAUAGUUCCAAAAGAGAGAGAGGUGGUUGUGUCGCCGGAGAGGGCUUUUAUCCAUAGUUCCAAAAGAGAGAGAGGUGGUUGUGUCGCCAGAGAGAGAGGUGGUUGUGUCGGCGGAGAGGGCUUUUAUCCAUAGUUCCAAAAGAGAGAGAGGUGGUUGUGUCGCAGGAGAGGGCUUUUAUCCAUAGUUCCAAAAGAGAGAGAGGUGGUUGUGUCGCCAGAGAGAGAGGUGGUUGUGUCGGCGGAGAGGGCUUUUAUCCAUAGUUCCAAAAGAGAGAGAGGUGGUUGUGUUGCCAGAGAGAGAGGUGCUUGUGUCGUCGGAGAGGGCUUUUAUCCAUAGUUCCAAAAGAGAGAGAGGUGGUUGUGUCGCCGGAGAGGGCUUUUAUCCAUAGUUCCAAAAGAGAGAGAGGUGGUUGUGUUGCCAGAGAGAGAGGUGCUUGUGUCGUCGGAGAGGGCUUUUAUCCAUAGUUCCAAAAGAGAGGGAGGUGGUUGUGUCGCCGGAGAGGGCUUUUAUCCAUAGUUCCAAAAGAGAGAGAGGUGGUUGUGUCGCCAGAGAGAGAGGUGGUUGUGUCGGCGGAGAGGGCUUUUAUCCAUAGUUCCAAAAGAGAGAGAGGUGGUUGUGUUGCCAGAGAGAGAGGUGCUUGUGUCGUCGGAGAGGGCUUUUAUCCAUAGUUCCAAAAGAGAGGGAGGUGGUUGUGUCGCCGGAGAGGGCUUUUAUCCAUAGUUCCAAAAGAGAGAGAGGUGGUUGUGUCGCCAGAGAGAGAGGUGGUUGUGUCGGCGGAGAGGGCUUUUAUCCAUAGUUCCAAAAGAGAGAGAGGUGGUUGUGUCGGCGGAGAGGGCUUUUAUCCAUAGUUCCAAAAGAGAGAGAGGUGGUUGUGUCGACGGAGAGGGCUUUUAUCCAUAGUUCCAAAAGAGAGAGAGGUGGUUGUGUCGUCGGAGAGGGCUUUUAUCCAUAGUUCCAAAAGAGAGAGAGGUGGUUGUGUCGUCGGAGAGGGCUUUUAUCUAUAGUUCCAAAAGAGAGAGAGGUGGUUGUGUCGUCGGAGAGGGCUUUUAUCUAUAGUUCCAAAAGAGAGAGAGGUGGUUGUGUCGUCGGAGAGGGCUUUUAUCCAUAGUUCCAAAAGAGAGAGAGGUGGUUGUGUCGUCGGAGAGGGCUUUUAUCCAUAGUUCCAAAAGAGAGAGAGGUGGUUGUGUCAUUGGAGAGGGCUUUUAUCCAUAGUUCCAAAAGAGAGAGAGGUGGUUGUGUCGUCGGAGAGGGCUUUUAUCCAUAGUUCCAAAAGAGAGAGAGGUGGUUGUGUCGUCGGAGAGGGCUUUUAUCCAUAGUUCCAAAAGAGAGAGAGGUGGUUGUGUCGGCGGAGAGAACUUUUAUCCAUAGUUCCAAAAGAGAGAGAGGUGGUUGUGUCGUCGGAGAGGGCUUUUAUCCAUAGUUCCAAAAGAGAGAGAGGUGGUUGUGUCGUCGGAGAGGGCUUUUAUCCAUAGUUCCAAAAGAGAGAGAGGUGGUUGUGUCGUCGGAGAGGGCUUUUAUCCAUAGUUCCAAAAGAGAGAGAGGUGGUUGUGUCGUCGGAGAGGGCUUUUAUCCAUAGUUCCAAAAGAGAGAGAGGUGGUUGUGUCGACGGAGAGGGCUUUUAUCCAUAGUUCCAAAAGAGAUAGAGUUGGUUGUGUCGCCAGAGAGGGCUUUUAUCCAUAGUUCCAAAAGAGAGAGAGGUGGUUGUGUCGUCGGAGAGGGCUUUUAUCCAUAGUUCCAAAAGAGAGAGAGGUGGUUGUGUCGCCAGAGAGGGCUUUUAUCCAUAGUUCCAAAAGAGAGAGAGGUGGUUGUGUCGCCAGAGAGGGCUUUUAUCCAUAGUUCCAAAAGAGAGAGAGGUGGUUGUGUCACCGGAGAGGGCUUUUAUCCAUAGUUCCAAAAGAGAGAGAGGUGGUUGUGUCGCCAGAGAGGGCUUUUAUCCAUAGUUCCAAAAGAGAGAGAGGUGGUUGUGUCGUCGGAGAGGGCUUUUAUCCAUAGUUCCAAAAGAGAGAGAGGUGGUUGUGUCGCCAGAGAGAACUUUUAUCCAUAGUUCCAAAAGAGAGAGAGGUGGUUGUGUCGUUGGAGAGGGCUUUUAUCCAUAGUUCCAAAAGAGAGAGAGGUGGUUGUGUCGUCGGAGAGGGCUUUUAUCCAUAGUUCCAAAAGAGAGAGAGGUGUUUGUGUCGCCAGAGAGGGCUUUUAUCCAUAGUUCCAAAAGAGAGAGAGGUGGUUGUGUCGCCAGAGAGAGAGGUGGUUGUGUCGACGGAGAGGGCUUUUAUCCAUAGUUCCAAAAGAGAGAGAGGUGGUUGUGUCGCCAGAGAGAGAGGUGGUUGUGUCGACGGAGAGGGCUUUUAUCCAUAG